GGGAUGAACGGUUUUACAAUAUAAAUCUUUUUUUUUAAAAAAAAAGUUAAAUUUAUAGUUUAAGUAAGAAUACUUAAAUAAUAAAAAGGGACGAUAAGACCCUGAAAGCUUGAUGCUAUGUUUUGUUAAUUUAGUUUUUGUUAUAAAAGUAAAAAUUUGUAAUUAGCUGGGGAAGUUUUUAUAUAAAAUCUGUAAUUUUAUUGUACUUAGGUUUUAUGAUCCGCUAGAUAGUGAUAAGUAGAGUGAGUUACUUCAGGGAUAACAGCAUAAUAAUUUUGUAGAGUUCUUAUCGAUAAAAUUGACUGUGACCUCGAUGUUGAAUUAAGAGUUCUAGCUAAGGAAAAAUGUAGUUUAGAUGG
rnacentral:rRNA from 1 species